rnacentral:rRNA from 1 species
GGGGAAUAUUGGUCAAUGGGCGCAAGCCUGAACCAGCGACGCCGCGUGAGUGAUGAAGGCCUUCGGGUUGUAAAGCUCUGUUUGGGAGGGAAGAAAAAGCUCCGGUCAAAUAGGCCGGGGCCUUGACGGUACCUCCUUAGAAAGCACCGGCCAACUACGUGCCAGCAGCCGCGGUAAUACGUAGGGUGCGAGCGUUGGCCGGAAUUAUUGGGCGUAAAGGGCUCGUAGGCGGUUUGUCGCGUCGGGAGUGAAAACACCGGGCUUAACUCGGUGCUGGCUUCCGAUACGGGCAGACUAGAGGUAUUCAGGGGAGAACGGAAUUCCUGGUGUAGCGGUGAAAUGCGCAGAUAUCAGGAGGAACACCGGUGGCGAAGGCGGUUCUCUGGGAAUUACCUGACGCUGAGGAGCGAAAGUGUGGGGAGCGAA